rnacentral:rRNA from 1 species
CCUACGGUGUGCAGCAGUGAGGAAUAUUGGUCAAUGGGCGGAAGCCUGAACCAGCCAAGUCGCGUGAGGGAAUAAGGCCCUACGGGUCGUAAACCUCUUUUGCCGGGGAGCAAGGGCGGGGACGUGUCCCGGCCCGGAGAGUACCCGGAGAAAAAGCAUCGGCUAACUCCGUGCCAGCAGCCGCGGUAAUACGGAGGAUGCGAGCGUUAUCCGGAUUUAUUGGGUUUAAAGGGUGCGUAGGCGGGCUUUUAAGUCAGCGGUAAAAAUUCGGGGCUCAACCGUAAAAUUGCAAUUGAUACUGGCAGUCUUGAGUACAGUUGAGGUAGGCGGAAUGCGUGGUGUAGCGGUGAAAUGCAUAGAUAUCACGAAGAACUCCGAUUGCGAAGGCAGCUUACUAAACUGCCACUGACAUUGAUGCUCGAAAGUGUGGGUAUCAAACAGGAUUAGAUACCCUUGUAGUC